rnacentral:lncRNA from 1 species
GCCUUACAACGUAACCGAAUUCUAAUAUAAUAAUUUAGCCAUUUUUGCAUGGCUUAGAUUACACAUAACUAAAAAUCCAACUUUACAAAACAUAUUCCAGCCUAUACAUGCCAUAAUUCAAGUUCGAAUAUUUAAGUAUCGAAGUUGUAGAUAGUGUGAUAGACUUUGCUGACAAUCCCCGAGCUUGUAACUUGAAUCCAAAAUCUAUAAAAUAAGAUACACAUAAAAACACAGAGUAAGCUUUUGAAGCUUAGUAAGUUAUAAGCAAUUUAGCUUCCCAAUAAAAUUAUCAACUUAUUCAAAUCAAACUAAAUUAUAAAAUCAUAACCUUUCAGAUCCAAAUAUUUAUAAUUCAUUAUAAAUAUAUAUUUUCACACUCAAAUGUCACACUGGCCUAACAUUCAUGAAUUAUUGUAACUAAUUAAUUCAUUAUAAAUAUAUAUUUAUCACUAUUAUCAUUUAUUUCCCACAACUAAUUAAUUAUUGUAACUUACUUCACAUAUCCAGAAGCAUAUAGACUCAUGUGUAGUUGCAUUGUUUCAUAUAUAUAUGCUAAUUAUGAAGUCGAACACUUAUAGUCAUGCAUGUCUAAUACUAAGUUUCAUUUCAAUAAUAAUUACAAGGCCGAUUACACUUGAAUACUUAAACCCCUGUAUCAAUAUAUACUUAAACCCCUGUAUCAAUAUAAUUCAUCAUAUUCAUAUAUUAGAUAUGUAACCGACAUAUAUGCACAUGAUUAAAGAUUAUUCAUGAUACAUAAGCUACUGACUCACAAAGUCUACUACACAUAUCACAUUCGCAUAUAUCCUUUAUUUGCACCAUUUCAAGGUUUGCAAAAAUAACAAGGUACUUACUUGCUUUACCUUAAAUAGAUAAUGAGUUAAUUCAUACUUGGCAUAUGGCUCAUUUUACACAUUCAAACUCAAUUUACCUUUGCCCGAUGAACCAUUCAGAAUUGGAUAGGACACUCGGAUAAUCUCACAAAUCAUACAAUGCUAACGUCCCAAACAUGGUCUUACAUGUAGUCACAUAUCGAUGCCACUGUCCCAGAUAGGUUCUUACUCGUAAACACAUAUCAAAAUCACAUAUCGAUGCCAACGUAUGAAACGUGGACUUACUCACACGCAUAUAUCAGAAUCACAUAUUGAUGCCAACGUAUUAAACGUGGACUUACUCGCACAAGUAUAUCGGAAUCACAUAUUGAUGCCAACGUAUUAAACGUGGUCUUACUCGCACACAUAUAUCGAUGCCACAUAUCGAUGCCACAUAUUCUUCCAGGUAUCAACUUUAAAAAUCGGCCAAAUUAUGCAUAAGUUCAUUAACAAAAUUAUCAUUCAUAAUCAAAGUCACAUUAUCAUUAAAUAUUCAAUUAUAUAUAUACAAUUAACCAUGAUUCACAUUUUAAUAUCACAUACAUAUUUCAUUUAGCCGAAUACAGACUUGUAAUUAAUAUACAAUUAAUCUACAUUUUAACAUAUAUAAUUCAUGUCAUCACUUCAAAUACUAAAUUUAUUCAUUACUUAUCAUCAAACAUAGAUUAUUUUCAUUUUCAAUAUCGAUUCAUAAUUUAAUUUUAAUCAAUAUAACUACCAAUUAAUCACAUAUAUUGAAAUUUAACAUAUUCUAUUUACUUAUAAACUUACCUCGAAUGACAUAAAACGGAACGGGACAGCUAGUCGACGACUUUCAUUUUCCCCUGAUCCAAAUCUGAUUUCUUUGGUUCUUGAUCUAAACAUAUUCAGAUUAAGCUCGUUCAAAUAUAUUUUCAUUCAAUUUAGUCCAAAGACAUAUAAAUGGGCAAAUUACCAUUUUACCCCUACUUUUUACAAUUUAGUCCCUAUUGUACAAAACACAAAAUAUGCAAAAUUUCAAUAUACCCAUGUUUGGCCGAAUAUUCCUAGUAUUCAUACAAGUCCAUAUAUUUCAUUUAUUUCACAUUUUAGUCCCUCAAAUUAUUAUUUUUGUAAUUUAGUCCUAAUUACUCAAAAUCAUCAAAAACUCCAAUACAAAAUAUGUUAAUCUAAAACAUAUCUUUUAUAUUUCAUCAUUAAACAACAAAAAUCACAAGCUUUCAACAAUGGCAUAACUCAAAAUAUUCACCAAAAUAAAAAAUUCAAGAAUGGGUUUUGUAGUACUCAAAGCAACGAUCUCAAAAACGUAGAAAUUAUCAAAAACAAAGCUAAACACACACCUCAAUCAAGCUUGUUUAUGGCUGAACUAGGUUUUCCUUUCUUUUUUUUCUUUCUUAUUUUUGGUUUCGGUCAAAAGAAUAAGAUGAGCAUGGCUUAUUAUUAUUUUAUGAUAUAUAUAUUAUAACAGAUAUUAAUUUAAUGUUUAAUUACUUAUAUAAUAUAAAACAAUGUAAUUUAUGUCUUAUGCCGUCCCACUAAUAUAUUAAUGGGAUAUUUACAACAUAAAUGCCCCAACUUAGAAAGCCACUAACAAUUUGGCCCUUAUGUUUUAAACUAUCAAGUUUUCAAUUUACGCGAUUAAGUCCUUUUAUUUAAUCGGAUACCUAACCGACAAAAUUAAAUCACUAAAAUUUCACAGAUAUAAAUUCACACAAAAUAAACACAGAAAAUAAUUUUUAAAUAUUUUUCUGACUCAGAUUCAUGGUCUCGAAACCACCGUUCUGAUUAGGGUCUAAAUUGGGCUGUUACACAACAUCCAUGAACCUAAGAGUAUUAAAAUCAAAAUAAUCAUUUAAAACAUCAUGAUAAUAAUCAACCAACAAUUCUACCACAUUGUCAUAUUCGCACAAUUCAAAAAUAAUAACAAUAAUAUAACCUUCUCAAACACUAAGCCCAACUAGGAUCACUUUCUUGGAAUUCCGCACCGCCCACACCGGAAACACUAACUAUCUGCAAAGGUUCAGAAAAGAGUGUGUGAGCUUAAACAAGCUCAGUGAAUGAUAAAGAAAAAACUAACAAUAAACAUGAUAUCAUACAUUAAAUGAGAACAUCUAAUUGGGUAUCAAUAUUUCUCAAAAUGGGGAUCGAUACCGUUUGGAAAAUCAGAACCUUUUUAACAUUCUAAUCUUCUUCAAAAUCCAAAACCCAACAAUUUAUCAAUACAAUUCAAAAGUAUCUAUAUUUUUACCUCGAGUGUUGAUACUCGAGAACUGGUAUCAAUACCAAAAUGAGCAACUGUUUCCUACACAUUUGUUUCAACUCAGAAGUAUCGAUACAUAUGCCCUGAUUAUCGAUACCUCUGCAUAAUUCUACAAAAAUUCAAGCAAAAUAGGGCAUUCUACAUACUUAAUCACAUACCACUUCAACAUGCAUCCAUAACUUCAAUAUUAAACAUCAAAAUGUCCAUAUUCUCAGUCCAUAGCAAUAUAAAUAAUUUUAACCAACCAAACCAAUAAACUAAUAACAACGUCUAGGAACCUAAGAGUAUUAAAAUCAAAAUUAUCAUUUAAAUUAUCAUGAUAAUAAUCAACCAAGAAUUUUACCACAUUGUCUUAUUCCUACAGUUCAAAAAUAAUAACAAUAAAAUCACAUACUUAAACACUAAGCCUAACUUGGAUCACUUCCUUGGAAUUUUGCACCGCCCACACUAAAAACACUAACUAUCUGCAAAGGUUCAAAAAAGAGUGUGUGAGCUUAAACAAGCUUAGUGAAUGAUCAGGAAAAAACUACCAAUAAACAUGAUAUCAUACAUUAUAUGAGAACAUCUAAAUGGAAAUCGACAUUUCUCAAAAUGGGUAUCGAUACCGUUUGGAAAACUGGAACCUUUUUACCAUUCUGAUCUUCUUCAAAAUCCAAAACCUAACAAUUUAUCGAUGCAAUUCAAAAGUAUUUAUAUUUUUACCCUAAGUAUCGAUACUCGAGAACUGAUAUCGAUAGAAAAAUGAGCAACUAUUUCUUGCACAUACGUUUCAAUUCAGAAGUAUUGAUACAUAUGCCCUGAUUACUGAUACCUCCGUAUAAUUCUGCAAAAAUUCCAGAAAAAUAGGGCACUCCACAUACUCAAUCACAUACCACGUCAAUAUCAAUAAUUUCAAUAUUAAACAUCAAAAUGUCCAUAUUAGAAUUCCAUAGCAAUAUCAAUAAUUUCAACCAAGCAAACCAAUAAACUAAUAACAACCUCCACGAACCUAAGAGUAUUAAAAUCAAAAUAAUCAUUUAAAAAAUCAUGCUAAUAACCAACAGACAAUUCUACCACAUUGUCUUAUUCCUACUGUAGCACCCCAAACCUGGCCCAGAAGUUAUGGCCGGAUCCGGCAUGCCACAUCAAAAACAUAAAAAAAAAUUUCCAUUCUAAGUCCAGAAAAUCGUACUUGAUGUUCAAAAGAUUAAUUCAUUAAAGGUUAAAGUGAAUGGAAGCUGUGCACCAGGUAGGAAACCGAAAAAGAGGUGGUGAGUCCAUCGGACUGCUUAAGUACCAAGCUCCCUUCGGAUCCAAUCCUAGACAUGCAUACCGCCAUUACCACACCUUAACGUCAUGGAUAUUUCUAGGAAACCGAUUUGAUUAAGUCAUUUUUAGGAAAAGUGAUUAAUUUUGGAAAAUACUUUCAUUGCGGAAGCUUUACUUGUUGUCGUGUUAUUUUGAAAUCAAUUGUUGUUUUUGAAAACGCGCCCUAAAGCUAUCUAAUUUCAACAGUUAAAAUAAGUAUUACCUAUUUUAGUAAUACAUAUUAAAACCAUCAAAAAUAAUUAAGCGGCCUUAUUACAUUUAAAAGCCCAAAAACUUCAAACGUAAAUAAAAGGAUGUCCAGUUCACCAGAAGAAAAUCAAACUUUCAGAACGGGUGGCCACUCCGAAUUCCCUCACAGCUCCAAGCCCACUAUGGUUGGGGAUUUCCUGCAUGGAUGAAAAUAAAAGGGGUGAGUUUGGGGAAACUCAGUGUGUAAGGAAAACUCAUUCAAAGCCCAAGUCAGCUCAAGCCCAUUGGGCCUAAGCCCAUUCAGGUAACAGUGGUACUGGGCCAGAGCCCUUUUCAGAUUACAAUAAACUGGGCCUUAGCCCCUUAUUCAGAUAACAGUAUGGCCCAUAGGCCCAUUUCAAAAUACAUGCAACAUCAGUAAACAUAUGCAAGCCCAUUUGGGGAGACUACUCAACCCACCAACCACUACACUCCACCCGUACCAGCCAUACACUCCAUGUGGGGAAUAGCUCAACCCACCCAGCCCAACACUCCACAGUUGCAGCCUUGCUGCUCAGUUAACAGUAAAUUGAGGCAAAGCCUCCAGUAUGUGGACAAGCCACUUUUAGUACUUCCUCCGUCAAUAUCCCAAUCCCAUGCAUCAAAUAAUAACAACAUGGCAUGCAGUAAAUAACAACAGUCAAACAUGCAUUUAAGUCAAUUUAACCCUAGGGGUAUUUCGGUAAUUUAUCUCCUAGGGGUAAAACUGUAAAUUUUCCACUUUUAAAGGUAUUUCAGUAAUUUAUCUAUUUUAGGGUUUUUCAUGAAUAUUCCUACUUUUCACGUACUACAGAAUCACGUACCGAGGGUUCUUACCGAAUUGGGCCCGUUGGCCCAUCAUUCCAAUUUUGGCCCAUUAAGCCCAAAAAUAUCUAGGGCACAGAAAUCAUGCACUUUGCAGUCCAAAUUUUGCAGCUUACCAAAAACAUUAAUCGAUUUACCUCACGAGCAUUCACACACUCGCAAAUCUACAAAAUACCGGUUUUCGGCAUUUCAGCUUUUCGACUUUUUCCGAUCCAGACUAAGAAAGAGGGUGUUAGUUACACACCUGUUUGCGAUGAUAUGCUGACGAGAUCCACACACGAACCGCCUACAAUUGGAUUACUAACACGUUAAUCUAACUAUUCAAAUACGAACUACGUAUUAACCCCUUACAAUAUUCGGCCAACCACACCUACAGAUCAUAGUAAGCUUAUAAGAAAACAAUAAGCAACUCAUUAACCAAUUUUUGUCAAUGUUUACCACAUAAUCAUAAUUUCACUGCAAGCUGUCUUCCUGAGCGACAGUCACUAAAUCAUUUAUAACUGGAGCUAUGAAACUCCAAAUCAAGUGCCGUUAAUUUUCCAUAAAAAUAGACUCAUAUAUCUUCUAUCCAUAAAAUUUUCAGAAUUUUUAGUUUGGCCAAUCAAUACCAGAUUUUUCUCAAAGUUUCGCAUGUUUCACUAUUUGACUAAUCUGACCACUCUUCAUUACGAAUCAAAUUUCUCAUUGUACAGAAUUCAAAAUAUGUUCUCGUUUAUUCCAUUUGAAACUAGACUCAUUAAGCUUUAAUUACAUAAUUUAUUCAGCUUAUAACUCAUCUCCCACAAUUUAUGGUGAUUUUCCAAAGUCACGUUACUGCUGCUGUCCCAAGCAGAUUUAUUACCAAAUCACUCUUUCACACAUAACUUGCAUGCAUGUUAUUUAAACAUGUACAUCACCAAUCAAUCAUCACAUAUCUAUGAGUUUACUUAAGUAUAGUCUCCAUUUCAUCAUUCUAAAGCACAACAUAUUAGCCGAUUUUUCCCCUUAGCAACUAAGGCACAUGCAUGCUUAUUUGUUUGGCUCAACUUCACCUAUCUUCCAUUUUUCAUCAAAAGAACAUGAAACAACAACCAUUCCCUUCAUUUUAAUUCAUGACCAAAUGCUCACAACACAACCAAAAACCAAAAUAUGCUUCAAGAGUUAAGGUAGAAUCAAGAAGAACUCAUGAACCUCAAAAUAGAAACAAGGUACCAAGAACUUACCUUCAAUUUUCCUCCUCCUAAUGACCAAAUACUCAAGAGCUUUCUCCUCUCCUUUCUCUUCUCUAACUUUCAGCUAUGAUGAACAAAGAUGGACAAAACUUUGUUCUUU